AUUGAACGCUGGCGGCAUGCCUUACACAUGCAAGUCGAACGGCAGCGCGGGGCAACCUGGCGGCGAGUGGCGAACGGGUGAGUAAUAUAUCGGAACGUACCCUGGAGUGGGGGAUAACGUAGCGAAAGUUACGCUAAUACCGCAUACGAUCUAAGGAUGAAAGUGGGGGCAUCGCAAGACCUCAUGCUCCUGGAGCGGCCGAUAUCUGAUUAGCUAGUUGGUGGGGUAAAGGCCUACCAAGGCAUCGAUCAGUAGCUGGUCUGAGAGGACGACCAGCCACACUGGAACUGAGACACGGUCCAGACUCCUACGGGAGGCAGCAGUGGGGAAUUUUGGACAAUGGGCGCAAGCCUGAUCCAGCAAUGCCGCGUGAGUGAAGAAGGCCUCGGGUUGUAAAGCUCUUUUGUCAGGGAAAGAAACGGUGAGGGCUAAUAUCCUUUGCUAAUGACGGUACCUGAAGAAUAAGCACCGGCUAACUACGUGCCAGCAGCCGCGGUAAUACGUAGGGUGCAAGCGUUAAUCGGAAUUACUGGGCGUAAAGCGUGCGCAGGCGGUUUUGUAAGUCUGUCGUGAAAUCCCCGGGCUCAACCUGGGAAUUGCGAUGGAGACUGCAAGGCUAGAAUCUGGCAGAGGGGGGUAGAAUUCCACGUGUAGCAGUGAAAUGCGUAGAGAUGUGGAGGAACACCGAUGGCGAAGGCAGCCCCUGGGUCAAGAUUGACGCUCAUGCACGAAAGCGU
rnacentral:rRNA from 1 species